AUUGCGCCACUGCACGCCAGCCUGGGUGAAAGAGCAAGACCCUGUCUCAAAAAAAAAAAGAAUCUUCACAAGCAUCCCUUCCUCCCAAGGCUCCUCCCUUGUCUCGUCUGAAGGUUUGCUCCCCAGAACUAUGAGAACCCUCUACAUCUCUCUUUCUCAGCCCAGCCAGGAUGCGGGACUCUCUGGGCUGGAGUCCUACAUCCCAGGCCUCAGCUACAAGGCACGAGUUCCGGCUGCUCAUGAAACCAGUUGGAACGUAAGGGGCACUACUGCACUGAUAAUCUUGGCUCCUUACUCAAAGGCACUGAGAACCACCUCUCCCUAGGCUGCAAUGUGGGAAAUGCCUCACAUACUAUAUGGGAGACUGCAGAGAAGAAAGGGGUCACUGGAACAAUCAACCCAAACAGGAUAUAAAAUGGAAUGUAUGCCAUGAUUACAACUCUGCUAAAAUAUAUCUGCCACUAGACUAGCCCAGGAAAUGAACAAGCAAAAGUGAAAGCAGUUGCAUGAUUCGGCGGUAAUAACAGGGAUUGAAUUUUAUUUUGUGGUUCUCUAUUUUCUAAUCUUUCUAUAAUGUAAUUAUCUAGAACUUGUAAUGACAGAUAUAUCUUUUAUGUUUCUUAGUAUACAAAAUGCUAUCCUCUGAACAUUUUCCUAUUAUGUAAGUCAUUUACGUAAUCAUAUUGAUUUUGCAGAAAAAUUUAGAGGCUAAGAAUGCCAUCAGUAUUCUAAGUGUAUUUGAUCCACGUCUCAACAUAAAAUCAAAUGAAUUACUGUCAACACAGAAGGAGACUUAUGCCUUUAACUCUGAUGUACAAACAGAAGAACAUAGAAGCUAACAUGGACUUUGGAGUCGGACAGACACGGGUUCAGAUCUCAGACUCAGAACUUGCUAGUGCUGUGAUCUUGGGGCUGUCUUCCUGAUUCCUGGAAAGCAGUGGAUGAAUAAUUCACGCGUCUCCUGAAGACUCUCAGAAAGCAACUGGCUCUGC